rnacentral:lncRNA from 1 species
UAUCUAAAUAUAUAUAAAGCAGUGAGCAUUUCAACUACUCUAUGCAAAUAUUAUGCAAAAUACUGCAAUUCAUGCCAAACUAUUGAUGGUUAUAAGGCCUCCUCUUUUUCCUAUUCUUUUUUUUUUUUUUUUAAAUGUAAGGUAUAAAGCUUCCAUUUAGUUGAUGGGCAGCCAACCAGCAAAAAUAGUCAAGCUAUGUGAUCCUCCAUGC